AGUGAACGCUGGCGGUAGGCCUAACACAUGCAAGUCGAACGGCAGCACAGUAAGAGCUUGCUCUUACGGGUGGCGAGUGGCGGACGGGUGAGGAAUACAUCGGAAUCUACUUUUUCGUGGGGGAUAACGUAGGGAAACUUACGCUAAUACCGCAUACGACCUACGGGUGAAAGCAGGGGAUCUUCGGACCUUGCGCGAUUGAAUGAGCCGAUGUCGGAUUAGCUAGUUGGCGGGGUAAAGGCCCACCAAGGCGACGAUCCGUAGCUGGUCUGAGAGGAUGAUCAGCCACACUGGAACUGAGACACGGUCCAGACUCCUACGGGAGGCAGCAGUGGGGAAUAUCGGACAAUGGGCGCAAGCCUGAUCCUGCCAUACCGCGUGGGUGAAGAAGGCCUUCGGGUUGUAAAGCCCUUUUGUUGGGAAAGAAAAGCAGCAGGUUAAUACCCCGCUGUUCUGACGGUACCCAAAGAAUAAGCACCGGCUAACUUCGUG
rnacentral:rRNA from 1 species